UAGUCCGAGCAGACAAUGAUGAAUGUCAUAUGUAAGUAAAUAUUUAUAUAUAAAUGAAAGUGUAAGCAUUCCACCUCAAGAGUAAUGCGGCAACGCAUAAACUGAAAUCAUUAGACCGUUUUUGAAACCAGUAGUGAAGUAUGUUAUUUAAUUUGACAAUCCACGGAAAACCUUACCACAAUUUGAAUAUAUAUAUAUUAUAUAUACAAGAGUUGCACGGCUGUCUUAAGUUAAUGUCGUGAGACUUUGGUUAGUUCCAAUAAAUUGACGUAAACCCUUAUUUUAUUUAUGAAUAAAAUAGUUCUCCACUAUAUUGGAUAAGAUAACAGGGAUUAAGACAAGUCAUCAUGGCCCGAACAUUGU
rnacentral:rRNA from 1 species